rnacentral:tRNA from 1 species
GACCCAUUGGUACAGUGGUUAGCACGUGGAGCUGUUAAUACUGGUCGAUUAUUCGACUACAAAACUCUAAGGUCGCUGGUUCGAUUCCAGCAUGGGUCG